UACGUAGGGACCAAGCGUUGUUCGGAUUUACUGGGCGUAAAGGGCGCGUAGGCGGCGUGGUAAGUCACUUGUGAAAUCUCUGAGCUUAACUCAGAACGGCCAAGUGAUACUGCCGUGCUAGAGUGCAGAAGGGGCAAUCGGAAUUCUUGGUGUAGCGGUGAAAUGCGUAGAUAUCAGGAGGAACACCGGUGGCGAAGGCGGGUCUCUGGGCCGAUACUGACGCUGAGGAGCGAAAGCGUGGGGAGCGAACAGG
rnacentral:rRNA from 1 species